rnacentral:rRNA from 1 species
UAGCGUAGGGGGCAAGCGUUGUCCGGAUUUAUUGGGCGUAAAGAGCGUGUAGGCGGUCUGGUAGGUCCGCUGUGAAAACUCGAGCUCAACCUCGAGACGCCGGUGGAAACCAUCAGACUAGAGUCCGGAAGAGGAGAGCGGAAUUCCUGGUGUAGCGGUGAAAUGCGCAGAUAUCAGGAGGAACACCGAUGGCGAAGGCAGAUCUCUGGGCCGUUACUGAACGCUGGAGGAGCGAAAGCGUCGGGGAGCGAACAGG